GAUCAUUCUUCUUUUUCCGCACACAGGACAUGACUCAGGAAAAGAUGAAGGAAGAUACACUGGUGCAUCAUGGGUACCUCCUUAACCCUCUCACCGACGGCACCAGACGCUCCUCCAGACCGACACCGUCGUUCAUCGUAACACGCAUCUGCCCGGAAUCGCCGUCAUCAUCAUCAUCAUCAUCAUCAUCAUCAUCACACUUGCCUCUUCCUUCACGCCGAGCCGAUCUAUACAUAGCCUGGCUAGAGCCGCUCUCACUUUCCUUGGCUAUGAAGGUGCUGGAAAUAGGCCUGCAUGGAACGGCUCUGUUAUUUGUUGUCUGUCACAUUCGAAUGUUGAAAUAAUGUGCUGUGGAGCGUUUUAGCGCCACAUCAGCUCCACAAGAGAUUUAUUUCCAAAGAUUGUGGCGGAUGUCUUUUAAAACAAAACAAAACAAAUAAAAAAACAAAUACCA